rnacentral:rRNA from 1 species
AGUGAACGCUGGCGGUAGGCCUAACACAUGCAAGUCGAACGGCAGCACAGGAGAGCUUGCUCUCUGGGUGGCGAGUGGCGGACGGGUGAGGAAUACAUCGGAAUCUACUCUGUCGUGGGGGAUAACGUAGGGAAACUUACGCUAAUACCGCAUACGACCUACGGGUGAAAGCAGGGGACCUUCGGGCCUUGCGCGAUUGAAUGAGCCGAUGUCGGAUUAGCUAGUUGGCGGGGUAAAGGCCCACCAAGGCGAGGAUCCGUAGCUGGGCUGAGAGGAUGAUCAGCAACACUGGAACUGGGACACGGUCCAGACUCCAACGGGAGGCAGCAGGGGGGAAUAUUGUACAAUGGGCGCAAGCCUGAUCCAGCCAUACCGCGUGGGUGAAGAAGGCCUUCGGGUUGUAAAGCCCUUUUGUUGGGAAAGAAAUCCAGCUGGCUAAUACCCGGUUGGGAUGACGGUACCCAAAGAAUAAGCACCGGCUAACUUCGUGCCAGCCGCCGCCGUAA